rnacentral:rRNA from 1 species
GACGUAAGGGGCAAGCGUUGUCCGGAAUCAUUGGGCGUAAAGCGCUCGUAGGUGGAUCGGUAAGUCUGCAAAGAAAGACCCGGGCUCAACUCGGGGAACGGUGUGGAUACUACCGAUCUUGAGGCAAUCAGAGGAUGAUGGAAUUCCCGGUGUAGCGGUGAAAUGCGUAGAUAUCGAUCGGAACACCCAUGGCGAAGGCAGCUCGCUGGCCUAAAACUGACGCUGAGGCGCGAAAGCGUGGGGAGCAAACAGG